GGCCUGGCCGGUCGGUCCGCUUUACGGCGUGUACUGUUUGGCCGGGCCUUCCUUCUUGGUGAUCCGGCAUGCCCUUUACUGGGUGUGUCGGGGAACCAAGACUUUUACUUUGAAAAAAUUAGAGUGUUUAAAGCAGGCCUACGCUUGAAUACAUUAGCAUGGAAUAAUAGAAUAGGACUU
rnacentral:rRNA from 1 species